CCAGCUCUCUUUGCCAAUUUGGCUUAGAUCAAGUGUAGUAUCUGUUCUUUUCAGUGUAAAAACUGGAACGGUCCUACGUGGACCUUCUUUUUUUAUACUCAUUUUUGCUUAUCCCGGGUCUCGACCGCUGGCUCGCUAUGUCCUGACCCACCGUGUCGCUGGUAUUGCACUGUUUCCAGUUUGAUGCGAAGGCUA
rnacentral:snRNA from 1 species